CACGUAGGGGGCGAGCGUUGUCCGGAUUUAUUGGGCGUAAAGAGCUCGUAGGCGGUUCGGCAAGUCGGGUGUGAAAUUUCGAGGCUCAACCUCGAAACGCCACUCGAUGCUGCUGUGACUGGAGUCCGGUAGAGGAGUGCGGAAUUCCUGGUGUAGCGGUGAAAUGCGCAGAUAUCAGGAGGAACACCGAUGGCGAAGGCAGCUCACUGGGACGGUACUGACGCUGAGGCGCGGAAGCGUGGGGAGCAAACAGG
rnacentral:rRNA from 1 species